rnacentral:rRNA from 1 species
AUGAGUUCGGUCUUUGAACGAUUCGGUUACGAGGUCAAGUAUGGGAAGGUAUGGAUGGCCAAGGCAAACACUAUUAGGAUGUUGCAUGGUGAUUAUGUGUCCGCGUACAAUAUUCUACCAAGGAUGUUGGGAGCCAUUGCUCAUCGGAACCCGGGCAUGCGCCAUAGAGUCGAGUCAAUUGACGGAGUGUUUCACCGAGCUUUCUGGAGCUUUGGCCAAUGCAUUGAGGCAUUUAAGCAUUGUCGGUCCGUCUUGUCAAUUGAUGGCACGUUCUUGACCGGCAAAUACAAGGGCACAUUGAUGGUGGCAAUGACCCAUUCGUCCAUUGACAAUGUGUUGCCGGUGGCAUUUACCUUGGUGCCUUCCGAGCAUGAUGACAAUUGGGAGUGGUUUGUGGACCAUGAAGGACAAAGGUGA